rnacentral:lncRNA from 1 species
CUUAUCUUUGAUCUCCCUCUUACCCCAUAGCUGUGAUGGUUACUGUAAUGAGGAUGCAGUAACUAAAUCAUUACUUUAAUUGAAAGGAAGACAGAUUCUUCAUAAGUUGAAUUAAUCCCAUCUCCAUCCAUCUAUAUGAAAGAUAAGAAGUCAUAUUCACAACUAGGAGAUUUGUUUCUCCAAAGGGUUUAUUGAAGAACUAUGCAUCCUGGGAUUUAGCUCAGUGGCACAGCACCUCCCUCACAACAAAGUCCAGAGUUUGAUCUCCAGUACAAAAAUUAAAACAAAAUGAUGCAGAG